GGAAACGUUUCAUGCGCAACGACCAUUCGUCCUUCCAUUCCAGCACCACCGAACUGGGUCCGAUGGCCAAGUAGCCGGGUGCGGCCUCCGAAUCACGUCCAAGUAUUAGAUAUGAUCUGAAAAUGAGGUGGGUGCCACAUGCGAGCGUGUUUGUUGAUAACCCCGCGCACAGCGAUUGCACGUCAGCCCGGUUACGCCCUCUUUGCAGGGGCAUUGACCGCUCAAAUGAUUGCAAGUUUUGCCGGUAGAGCCAACAGGAUGGCAGUCGCAGCCUGAAAUUAAAGAAAAAGCAGUGAAAAGCAUGAAUAUAAAGUGCGUUAAACAUAUU
rnacentral:lncRNA from 1 species